AGAGUUUGAUCCUGGCUCAGGACGAACGCUGGCGGCGUGCUUAACACAUGCAAGUGGAGCGACGAACCAGGGCUUGCCCUGGGGCAGAGCCGCGAACGGGUGAGUAACACGUGGGUAACCUACCCCAAUGACCGGGACAACCCGAGGAAACUCGGGCUAAUACCGGAUGUUCUGCACUCUCGUAAGGGAGUUCAGCAAAGAUAGCCUCGGCUUUCGCAUUGGGACGGGCCCGCGGCCCAUUAGCUUGUUGGUGAGGUAACGGCUCACCAAGGCUUCGAUGGGUAGCUGGUCUGAGAGGACGAUCAGCCACACUGGGACUGAGACACGGCCCAGACUCCUACGGGAGGCAGCAGUGGGGAAUCUUGCGCAAUGGGCGAAAGCCUGACGCAGCAACGCCGCGUGGGGGAAGAAGGUCUUCGGAUUGUAAACCCCUUUCAGUUGGGACGAAGCUUCCAGGGUUAAUAGCUCUGUGGAGUGACGGUACCUUCAGAAGAAGCCCCGGCUAACUACGUGCCAGCAGCCGCGAUAAUACGUAGGGGGCGAGCGUUGUCCGGAAUCAUUGGGCGUAAAGCGCGUGUAGGCGGUCCGGUAAGUCCGCUGUGAAAGUCGGGGGCUCAACCCUCGGAUGCCGGUGGAUACUGUCGGGCUUGAGUACGGAAGAGGCGAGUGGAAUUCCUGGUGUAGCGGUGAAAUGCGCAGAUAUCAGGAGGAACACCAAUUGCGAAGGCAGCUCGCUGGGACGUUACUGACGCUGAGACGCGAAAGCGUGGGGAGCAAACAGGAUUAGAUACCCUGGUAGUCCACGCUGUAAACGAUGGGCACUAGGUGUGGGGGGUGUCGACUCCCUCCGUGCCGAAGCUAACGCAUUAAGUGCCCCGCCUGGGGAGUACGGCCGCAAGGCUAAAACUCAAAGGAAUUGACGG
rnacentral:rRNA from 1 species